rnacentral:rRNA from 1 species
AUACGGAGGAUCCAAGCGUUAUCCGGAAUCAUUGGGUUUAAAGGGUCCGUAGGCGGGCAAUUAAGUCAGGGGUGAAAGUUUGCGGCUCAACCGUAAAAUUGCCUUUGAUACUGGUUGUCUUGAAUUACUGUGAAGUGAUUAGAAUAUGUAGUGUAGCGGUGAAAUGCAUAGAUAUUACAUAGAAUACCAAUUGCGAAGGCAGAUCACUAACAGUAUAUUGACGCUGAUGGACGAAAGCGUGGGGAGCGAACAGGAUUAGAAACCCCAGUAGUCC